ACAGAGUUCAAAUUGACAAAGAUUGCUGCUACGCUGGCUAGGUCAUGUCGUGCGAAUGAACGAAAACAUUCUAGCUCUCAAAGUUUUCGAGGCAUAAAGGCCCGCCGGGGGAAGCAGAGGAAGACCAGGUGGAGAAGAACUUGGUUUCGUUUGGAAUCUCCAAUUGGCGACAAGUAACGAAAUGGAAGAACAAUUAGCGCGCUAUUGUAAACUUAGCUAUAACCGCGUAAGCGGUGUCUACGCCAAUAAAGAAGAAGAAGAACGCUGUACUUUUGCCAGAAUUACAAAAAAUUUCACAUCGAUUGAGAUACUAUCUAAAAAACCAUAUUUAGAACAUAUUUUAGCUUGAAAAUUUCUAUGGAAAUGUUAACAGAACUGCCAAGCCGCCAAUUAAACAGUUUUUCGGCAGUACAAGAAUGUUCGAAAGUAAACAGGACUUUUUGAAUCUAGCGCCCCCUGGUGGGGCCAUCUGUAUGUCGCCAGAUGAGUUAGAAUCUGCUAAUUUAUCGAUCUUCCAGUAGGAAUUUCAUGGCAUUUCAUAGAUUGGAAGUGAAGUUAUUGGGUUCUAAGUGUCAGUAUGUUUGCGUUAUCGGUGCGAAAAUGCGCUUCGAACAAAGAGCCAACAUUAAAUUUUGUUUUAAAAUUAGUAAAACUCUUACCAACACGUUUCAAUUGAUGAAGCAAGCUUAUGGCGAUGAUUGGCUAUCCGGUAGCAUAGUGCACGAGUGGUUUCAACGUUUUCAAAGUGGUCGUGAGGACAUAAAUGACGAUCAACAUGUGGGUCAAUCAAAAUCCGUGAUCACCGGAAAUUCCAUCGAAACUGUGUGUGAAUUCAUCAAAAAUCAGCCGAAAUCAUCUUUGAAAUUCAUGGAAAUGGAAUUGAACCUCUCCAAAACAUCGAUUUAUCGCAUUUUUACGGAACAUUUGGGCUAACGAAAGGUGUGUGCACGGUUUAUUCCGCACAAAUUGACUGACGACCAAAAAAUUGUUCAGAAUCCGUCUCAUCGAUUGACGCUUCUGACCGAUUAUUUGACCAAAAAUCACAUUUUUACCAUUAAUCACUCCCUGUAUUCACAUGAUAUGGCACCGUGCGACUUCUUGCUUGAAAGGAAAACGUUAUGUAGACGUUGAGGCCAUUCAAAAGGUUUCACCGGCAUACUGGCGGCCAUACCGGCCAACGAUCUAAAACACUCGUUAGACAUGCUUUUGGACCAUGCAAAAAGCUGUAUUGAAGCAGAAGGAGACUAUUUUGAAUAAAAUAAAUUGAUUUUGCCGAAAAAACCAUUUGUUCUGUUUUUGAAGUUAUACACACUUCUUAAACUAUGUUCGGACCGACAACGAAAACAUGUUUUCGUGGGAAAAACUGGUUUUCGCACGAAAACUUGUGUUUUCGUCCAUGUAAAAUCUGUGAAACGAAAACACAGUUUUCGCUGAAAACUACUUGAAAACUUACAUUUCACUCAUUAUAAUCGGUGCCUGCUCUAGUUUAGUCGAUGUUUUUGGAAGACAUAUUUUGCCGGCUCUAAAUUGUCAGUUGAUAUUUGUUUACAUUCCAUUUACAAAAACAGCUGUCGCUUGAUAUUCUCAUAUUAGGGGGAUUCUCUUGCUCUUGCAAAACCUUGCACGGUGCAGAAAUUGCAGAAUUUUCCUCUUGGUGCAACGGCACAACAACAAACACACGCAGAAAAUUAUUUGUAAUGGCUAUAAAUACGUCAGACCAAGACCCACGUUUAUUUUUGUGCCGUCAUAUAUCACUAGAUUCUGCAAUGGGCGCUCGCUUUUCCUUACAUAUUCCGGUAUAGGAGUUUUGCAUUUUGUGUCAUCGUGCAAUCUUGCAAGAGCAAGAGAAUGCCGCUAUUGAUAGUUGUAAGUGAAAACUCAUCGAAAACACACAUUGUCGGUCCGAACGACUUAGAUUCCACAACAUACAAAUGUGUUUUCAAAAUGUUCUCAAUGUCGGUCCGAACAUAGUGUUAUGCGAGGUCGGAAAAGGUUGCGUUAAAUGAUUAACGCUUCUAUAUUUACGCUAGCUUAUCGUCGAAGAUGUUCGAGCAGCAAAGAAAGCGGUGACAAUCGGCGAACGUUUGUUAGUUUCUUUCGGCACAGCUCGGAUUUUCUACCAGCAACACAAUGUUGUAACGCUUUGUUGUCGUGUCAGUGCUUCGACACAUUGACUCUUUCACAAAGCGAGGAAUCAUCAAAAGCCGAAGUGCGGAACUUUAAUCCGCUAAACUGAACCUACUCCCAGCUCCAGACUCUCCCACGGAACCACCUGAUUAGGUAUUACUUCGUGGGAGUGAUAAGAUAAUUAAGUCUCCUCUAUGGCACGGACUGACGGACGCCUAUUCUGCUCUAUAUGUCUAAGUUUUGUCAUGAUUGACGCUGCCGCUUCGCUGACAGCAUUCCAGUUCUCAGUGGACUGGCACAACCGUCCGCCACGUUACGCUUCAACACCCUACAUUUCGCACUACCAACAAUGGUAACCCAUCGCCAACUAUUCAACAUCGAGUACGAAUUUCUUCGUCGACAAUGGCACGGAUUUCGGCAACUCCGCUUUCUCGUAAACUCAAAAUAGUAACUUCUUUUCGACUGCAAGCUGUAAACGGUAGCAAAGUCGGAACCUACGGAGAUGAGGCCCUUAACUCAGUCUCGCACGUUUAGGCUCCUAUGCAACCGUCGUAGCCCUAACCGAGAACUGCACAAA